CCCUCGAUAACUCAGUUGGCAGAGCGGAGGACUAAAUGUUACAACGGUGAUCCUUAGGUCGCUGGUUCAAAUCCGGCUCGAGGCA
rnacentral:tRNA from 1 species